CAGCAGCCGCGGUAAUACGGAGGGUGCAAGCGUUAAUCGGAAUUACUGGGCGUAAAGCGCACGCAGGCGGUCUGACAAGUCAGAUGUGAAAUCCCCGGGCUUAACCUGGGAACUGCAUUUGAAACUGUCAGGCUGGAGUCUUGUAGAGGGGGGUAGAAUUCCAGGUGUAGCGGUGAAAUGCGUAGAGAUCUGGAGGAAUACCGGUGGCGAAGGCGGCCCCCUGGACAAAGACUGACGCUCAGGUGCGAAAGCGUGGGGAGCAAACAGGAUUAGAGACCCCGGUAGUCCCUGUCUCUUAUAA
rnacentral:rRNA from 1 species